GGCGAUGUUGCUCAGUGGCAGAGCGCUGGCUUCGGAUGCGAGACGUCCCCGGUUCGAUCCCCGGUGUCUCCA
rfam:Echinococcus multilocularis genomic scaffold, pathogen_EmW_scaffold_07